GAGUGUUACAGUUCUUUUAGAAUUUGUCUUGCAGGUUUUCUGGCCUCAGCCGGAAAAUGCUCAC